CGCCUCCUGCCCCACAUAAGUAUAGGAGGUCCCGCCUGCCCUGUGACUAUUAGUUUAACGGCCGCGGUAUUUUGACCGUGCAAAGGUAGCGCAAUCACUUGUCUUUUAAAUGAAGACCCGUAUGAAUGGCCCCACGAGGGCUUAACUGUCUCCUUUUUCCAGUCAAUGAAAUUGAUCUCCCCGUGCAGAAGCGGGGAUAACAUCAUAAGACGAGAAGACCCUGUGGAGCUUUAGAUAAAGAAUAGACCAUGUCAACCACCUCUAGUAAAAGAGCCAGAACCAAUUGGACCCUAUUCCAAUGUCUUUGGUUGGGGCGACCGCGGGGAAACAUAAAACCCCCAUGUGGAAUGGGAGCACCCCUCCUAUAACCAAGAGCUACAGCUCUAAGUAUCAGAACUUUCUGACCAAAAAGAUCCGGCAAGACCGAUCAACGGAACGAGUUACCCCAGGGAUAACAGCGCAAUCCUCUUUUAGAGCCCAUAUCGACAAGAGGGUUUACGACCUCGAUGUUGGAUCAGGACAUCCUAAUGGUGCAGCCGCUAUUAAGGGUUCGUUUGUUCAACGAUUAAAGUCCU
rnacentral:rRNA from 1 species